ncrna:Bradyrhizobium sp. BTAi1 ZMP/ZTP riboswitch
CGGCUCUCGCGCGACUGGCGACUUUGGAUGGAGCACCAUCGGGGAGCGCGGGGUGGAUCGCCGUGCGCCUGGGCAAAUUGA